UAUGAAUGUAAAAAUAAAAAUAAAAUGAUUAAUAGUUAUGUUCUUUAAAGUUAAAUUAUUUGGCGGUAUUUUUUACUUUUCAGAGGAACCUGUUCUAUAAUCGAUAGUCCACGAUUAAAUGAAUUUUAAUUAGAAAUUUUUAUAUCGUCGUUAUUAAAUAUUUUUUUAGAAUUAAUAUUUAUAAUUUUUUAUAUAAAAGUAAGUCAGAUCAUGAUAAAGUUUAUAUUAAAAAAGAAAUGGGUUACAAUUUUAAAAGUUGGAUUUUUUAAAGGUAGAUUAAAAAUGAAAAUGGAUUUGAAAGUAAUUUAAAUAAAUUUAUUUAAAUGAUAAAGUUCUAAAAUAUGC
rnacentral:rRNA from 1 species